CAACCUCAACUCAUAUGGGACUACCCCCUGAAUUUAAGCAUAUUAAUUAGGGGAGGAAAAGAAACUAACAAGGAUUUUCUUAGUAGCGGCGAGCGAAAAGAAAUCAGUUCAGCACUAAGUCACUUUGUCUAUAUGGCAAAUGUGAGAUGCAGUGUACGGAACAUCAACAUUCUAGUAUGAGAAGUUAACGAUUUAAGUCCUUCUUAAAUGAGGCCAUUUACCCAUAGAGGGUGCCAGGCCCGUAUAACGUUAAUGAUUACUAGAUGGUGUUUCCAAAGAGUCGUGUUGCUUGAUAGUGCAGCACUAAGUGGGUGGUAAACUCCAUCUAAAACUAAAUAUAACCAUGAGACCGAUAGUAAACAAGUACCGUGAGGGAAAGUUGAAAAGAACUCUGAAUAGAGAGUUAAAUAGUACGUGAAACUGCUUAGAGGUUAAGCCCGAUGAACCUGAAUAUCCGUUAUGGAAAAUUCAUCAUUAGAAUUGUAAUAUUUUAAACAAUAUGAAUCC
rnacentral:ncRNA from 1 species